rnacentral:rRNA from 1 species
ACAGCAGCCGCCGCGGUAAUACGAAGGGGGCUAGCGUUGCUCGGAAUCACUGGGCGUAAAGGGUGCGUAGGCGGGUUUCUAAGUUAGGGGUGAAAUCCUGGAGCUCAACUCCAGAACUGCCCUUGAUACUGGAAGUCUUGAGUAUGGGAGAGGUGAGUGGAACUGCGAGUGUAGAGGUGAAAUUCGUAGAUAUUCGCAAGAACACCAGUGGCGAAGGCGGCUCACUGGCCCAUAACUGACGCUGAGGCACGAAAGCGUGGGGAGCAAACAGGAUUAGAUACCCCCGUAGUCCCUGUCUCUUAUAC